GCCUGAGAUUAGCUGAGUUGGUCAGAGCAUGGUACUAAGAAUGCCAAGGUCACAGGUUCAGUUCCUGUACGGGCC